UACGUAGGGUGCGAGCGUUGUCCGGAAUUACUGGGCGUAAAGAGCUCGUAGGUGGUUUGUCGCGUUGUUCGUGAAAACUCACAACUCAAUUGUGGGCGUGCGGGCGAUACGGGCAGACUGGAGUACUGCAGGGGAGACUGGAAUUCCUGGUGUAGCGGUGGAAUGCGCAGAUAUCAGGAAGAACACCCGUGGCGAAGGCGGCUCUCUGGGACGGUACUGACGCUGAGACGCGAAAGCGUGGGGAGCGAACAGG
rnacentral:rRNA from 1 species